UUGCAAUGAUGCACUUGAAUUUCUUCACCUGACUAUAAUGAAGAUUAAAACCGAGCUUUUUAACCCUGAGCUAU
rnacentral:snoRNA from 1 species